rnacentral:rRNA from 1 species
AUUGAACGCUGGCGGCAGGCCUAACACAUGCAAGUCGGACGGUAGCACAGAGGAGCUUGCUCCUCGGGUGACGAGUGGCGGGCGGGUGAGUAAUGUCUGGGGAUCUGCCCGAUAGAGGGGGAUAACCACUGGAAACGGUGGCUAAUACCGCAUAACGUCGCAAGACCAAAGAGGGGGACCUUCGGGCCUCUCACUAUCGGAUGAACCCAGAUGGGAUUAGCUAGUAGGCGGGGUAACGGCCCACCUAGGCGACGAUCCCUAGCUGGUCUGAGAGGAUGACCAGCCACACUGGAACUGAGACACGGUCCGGACUCCUACGGGAGGCAGCAGUGGGGAAUAUUGCACAAUGGGCGCAAGCCUGAUGCAGCCAUGCCGCGUGUAUGAAGAAGGCCUUCGGGUUGUAAAGUACUUUCAGCGGGGAGGAAGGCGAUGUGGUUAAUAACCGCAUUGAUUGACGUUACCCGCAGAAGAAGCACCGGCUAACUCCGUGCCAGCAGCCGCCGUAA